rnacentral:rRNA from 1 species
GACGAACGCUGGCGGCGUGCUUAACACAUGCAAGUCGAACGAUGAAGCUAGAGCUUGCUCUGGUGGAUUAGUGGCGAACGGGUGAGUAACACGUGAGUAACCUGCCCCGAAUUCUGGGAUAACUGCUGGAAACGGUAGCUAAUACUGGAUACGACCAACGAAGGCAUCUUCUGUUGGUGGAAAGAAUUUCGGUUCGGGAUGGACUCGCGGCCUAUCAGCUUGUUGGUGAGGUAACGGCUCACCAAGGCGACGACGGGUAGCCGGCCUGAGAGGGUGAUCGGCCACACUGGGACUGAGACACGGCCCAGACUCCUACGGGAGGCAGCAGUGGGGAAUAUUGCACAAUGGGCGCAAGCCUGAUGCGGCAACGCCGCGUGAGGGACGACGGCCUUCGGGUUGUAAACCUCUUUUAGUAGGGAAGAAGCGAAAGUGACGGUACCUGCAGAAAAAGCACCGGCUAACUACGUGCCAGCCGCCGCCGUAA